UGGAAUGUAGCUUAGUGGUAGAGCACUUGCCUCACAUACAGGAGGCCCUGGGUUCCACCCCCAGCACCACAA
rnacentral:tRNA from 1 species